GGCAUGGUGCCAAAAAAUUGUGCAAAAAAAUAGCAACCGUGAAAGGACAGUCUAUUCUCCUUCACUGGCUGAGGGAUAUAGUUAACCAUUUCUGGUGGUGCUGCAAGACGGCAGAAACAUUUGAGCAGUUUCUUGCACUUUGGAUUGGAGUUCUGCAUCAUGUUUGCAACAAUCACACCUGGGAAACAGGAAGCUGCCAACACGACCACCUUGAAGACACUCAGGAUAAAGAGUGGAUUGAGA